UACGUAGGAGGCAAGCGUUGUCCGGACUGACUGGGCGUAAAGCGUCCGCAGGUGGUCGUGCAAGUGCGCUGUGAAAGCGGCCCGCUCAACGGGCCGAGGCCAGCGCAGACUGCGCGACUCGAGGUCGGGAGAGGUCGGUGGAAUUGCCGGUGUAGUGGUGAAAUGCGUAGAGAUCGGCAGGAACACCCAAGGGGAAGCCAGCCGACUGGCCC
rnacentral:rRNA from 1 species